CGCCCGGACUCCAUCGCUCCGGCACGCCCACUCCCGCCCCACGCCCAUGGCCACGCACUCAUUACCACUAUAGGUAAGAUAUAGGUCUACCUCACUCUGGUGUAAUGAUAGGAGAUUAAAAAGAUACAUCACCGAUAACCAAUCAAGACCAUUCCCUAACACGCACGAGUAAGGACUGUGUUUGAAGCAAGAAGCAAGCUACUCAUGUUACAGAGAGCCAGAUACAGAAACAUUCAGGUCUGGCAAAGUAAACAGACCGGCGGAGAAAUAUAAUGACAUGCGUGAAAUUUUAAUCUACAUUUUUCCCCCUUCCAUACGAGCGGGAGAGGAAGGGAGUCCGAGAGGUGACGCGCGCGGGAGCCGGUGUGUGACGUGGGUCGGGCACGGCGUGAGAGCGGGCACAUGCAGAUGAGGCUCCUGGGCAGAGAGGGUUAGGCAGGAGUGCCCCGCCUGGCCCUAGUCUGCCUUACGUCUCUACCCUGGUAGCACGCGCACCAUGCCCUGCCGCCGCGAGUGUAUCCUCCUGACGUGCCCUGCGGAAGUGUUCGGUGCCGGCGGGAGAGUGUUGUCGGCUAUGACCCCACGUGAGCCCCGAUGCGCAGGCUUUACUCCACCAGGCACACAGUGGUGGUGGACGUACCCAAGUGCUGAGCCAAUGCCUGGGAGAGAAAGUUGAUGUGUCUGUGUGAUGUAAGCCUCCGGAAGUGACGUCACGGUAUCUAAGAAGCCCCAAGAAGCUUACCUCCCUCGUCCCCUCCCCGCCGCCGGAUAUCUCACGCACGCCCUUGGAAACGCGCUCCCAAAAUUUCCAGUCGACACCGCUAUCGAGGUGGAAAGAUAUAAGUGUGGCGUGUGAGGACUUAUUGAGUGAUGCGUCGAACUUAUAAACUCGAAAACCUGACAGUGCUGAAAGGUGAGAACUACAAGGAAAGAGAAAAAAGUCCAACACGCUUAGAUAAAAGGGAGAAGUGGAAGAGUGGCCGAAAAGGGGAAAGAGAAAGAAGGAGAGGUGAGAGAUAAAUGCGGAGACGGAGGAAGAGGGAGGCGAGGAUUCGGAAUAGAAGUUAUGUCGAGCGGCGACGUGGAAACAGCCCGACGGAGUAAGAAGAUUUGGCGAGCAAGACCCUUGCUUGGCCCUCGCUCCCUCUCCGCGCUGGCACCCGCUGUGGAGGGCUGCGGUGGGUGGGUGGUGGGUAGUGCCGCCCCUUAGUACUCAGCCAGGCACACGGAGGAGCUUUGGAAGACGACGAAGCGGUGUGAAGGCAACAUAAGGCCAAGCUCUCAACUCUAGAGACAACGUUGACUCGUGUCUUGAUGCCAACACGUCGGCCACACGGGUGUCGUAUCGUCUUGCAUGACAGCGUGGCCAGAAAACAGCUCAACACAUCAUCAGGAAGCUAAGGAGACAGCUCAAGGGCGCAAAUAAAAAAAUAAAAAAAAGGCCCGCUACUCACUGCUCCCGAACAGAGGUUAAAGGAGUGUCCAAAAUCAGAGGAGCCGAGCGAGAGGGGCGUAACACGAGAGACCGGCACCCCUCGACUCCGACCCUCGGCCCGCGGAACCCAAGGGCGGAGAGCCUCGCCCGCCCCGCCUCCCCGCACUGCCCGUUGACGGUGCAUCGGCAGCGCACGGAGUGUCGCUGGGCCCUGAGCGGGGGGGAAGUCGCUAUUGAGAUCCCGUGGCCGGAGGGGCAAUGCAGGCGACGAUGAGGGGAGCCGUAAGGGCGGACGUGAUCAAGGAAGGGGUGACGGCCGCCCUGGGCGGAGUGAAGGAGUUGUAACGACCUCGACCGGACCCUCAGGGGAAAAGCGGCACCAGUCAUCAACAGGAGGUUCUUGGCAGUCAAAAUCAGCUGGUAUCUGGACGAACAUGUGAGGAAGUAACAAGAAGAGAGCGAAAUUAGCGAGAGAUCGAAAGACAUUUUUCAAGAAACGAUGAAAUAAUUGAUCAAUCACCUAUGAAGAAUGAAGUAUGAAGAAGCCGUCUUCUCCCCCACAUAGCACUGUUCCCAGGUAGACAUACACUGCGCCACGACCUGCAGCGAGAGAAUGAUGACGAUGAACUUGACGCCACACCACACUCAUCCAUAUCACCGCUCUUCUCCAAGUAACAGGUCAGUAUUUGUCUUUGGCGGUGCCAGACCACCAUAACGGAAGGCAAGACAACCCCUGACACCUGGUACCAAUUCACGGCUGGCCGGACGAGGGAACAGGUGAAGUAAGACUGCCCAUACGUCUCCACUCUGCCAAAGGAAUUCAACCCGGGAUCUCUCAGUUGUGAGGCUACUCUAACCUACUCCACAAAGUCACCUCUGUGACUUGCUGAUCAAUUCAGUGGUGCUGAUGAUGGCGACACCCACGGGGUCAAAGGAAGACUCGAUGACAACCAACAUUACCAAACCUCACGACGGAAGACCUUCACGCCAGCGGCAGUAUUCUAAGUUUACAGCCAAAUGAAAGUUCUGCGAAGGGCGGAUUCUUAGAGCUGCCGCUGUCCUCUUCACUUUUCUACUAGAGCGGUGUGUACCAUUGUAAGAGCAAUAAAAUGACUUUGGAAGUGGGCAGAUACAACUGUGGUGAACUUCCUCCAUAUGAAGCCCAUGACUAAAAAAUAAGGAAUAUGCAAAUAUAGACAUGACAACCAUAUUUUGUAAUUAGGUAGCUAAGUAUCCUAUACAAUCCAAAAUAAAAGCACUGUAACCUAAUUAUGACGUGUGGAACUAUUUUAACCCAUUUAUUUCCCAUGAGCAGCCCAUAGCACUGGUAGACUUUCUUGGGGGGCUGCGGAGGUCAGUUCCAGCCCGUUAGUGGUGAGGGCGAAUUUUAUUUAGAGUGUUUGCUGUGAUGUGACUCUUGUUUGGCCCAUACUGCCCCCCAGUGCUUCUCUAACCGAAAUGGCUGAAUUUACAGUUGACUGUCAGACAUUCGAAUAGCAUGUGGAUAAUCCUCGGCCAUUAAACUGUGGCUGAAAAUUGUCACUGGUUGCAUCAGGACUUGAACCCAGGCCUGCGGAAUCUAUGCCCAUUUGUUCAUCAUUCUACCUAUGCUUAAAUCCAACUUGAAGAGGGAUUUAAAAGGCACCGCAGAGGCAGAUGAUAAUGGCACUG